GGUCAAGCAUUAAGAGCGCAGGGUGGAUGCCUUGGCACUGAGAGCCGAU
rnacentral:rRNA from 1 species